CAGAUGUAGUUCAAUGGUAGAACAUGAGCUUCCCAAGCUUAGGACGCGGGUUCGAUUCCCGUUAUCUG
rnacentral:tRNA from 1 species